GUAUCAGUCCCUAAGAUGAGCCGGUACAAGGGAAUGUGUACAAGUGGAGGAUGCAUAUACUCAUAGAAAGAUCCUCACCAAAACAAAAAGGGAAGUGUCCCUUAGUCUGUUUCAGUUCAAUUCAUUCUUCUAUUAAGUGCUUAAGCUUGAGAAAGUUACUAGAAAUGAAUUGAUUGAACUGUGAUUAUACUGAAAAAGAUUGAUUGAAUUGUGUGCAUCAACUGUGAUGCAGGAUAUUCAAAUUCUUGGUUCUUGAUAAGUACUGAUGCACCUUUGGAAUGUGUAUUAGGUACCUUUGCUUGGCGCCUCACUAAACGGUUCCUGGUCAUUUCCUAGCUUCUCUAAGGUGGCUGUGAAGUCUGUUGAGAGGGGGAGAUCCAAACCAGGUCUAUGAAGAGGGCAAGCCGUGUGUGAAGUGUUAAUCAGCCUCGCUGGGGUUCUGAAGAUGAUCUGAUCGUGUCCUAGCUUCUCUAAGAUGGCUGUGAAGUUAGUUGAGAGGGGGAGACUUCAAACCGGUUCCAUGAAGAGGUGAAGCUGAAGUGUGAAGUGUGCGCAAAGCUGUGAAGAGUUGCUGCACCUGUUAGGCCGUGAUCCAGAGCUCCUUGUGGGGAAUAUGACAGCUUCUUUGUCAUUCUAAUCAAACCAGGAUGAAUCGCGAUGAAAAUAUGAGAUUAAGAGAUCCUUAGAGUAAUCAGAAUAAAGAGAGUGUUUAGGAAGUGAUUAAGAGAAGUUUGUGAAAGAUUAGGAGACUAGAUAGAGCCGUUUAGUGUCUAAGAGUAAACCAUAGUGUCUAAGAGAUUAGAGAGACUCAAACUGCUUAAUCUUCAUUGGCUGUGAAGUUAGUUGAGAGGGGGAGACUUCAAACCGGUUCCAUGAAGAGGUGAAGCUGAAGUGUGAAGUGUGCGCAAAGCUGUGAAGAGUUGCUGCACCUGUUAGGCCGUGAUCCAGAGCUCCUUGUGUCCAACCACACUGGUUCUAAGACACAAGAGCUCACUGGCCAAUCCCUAGGCUUUGGAGAGCUCUACUCUUUUUCCCUUGCAAGGUUUUGUCCCAAUGGGUUUUCCUUGUAAGGUUUUUAAUGAGGGAGACUCUUCAGAGUUCCAAGCUUGGCUUAGGAUCUCCUAAAGUCAAGCUUGAGGGGGAGUGUUGAACUGAAGAAAAGAUAGAAGGUGUUGGAAGAGUUUGGGAGAAGGUGGCCGAUGGUACAAAGAUAGGGCAAGACCUUCAGGAGUGUCCCUUGUAUCCAGAAGUGAUCUGAUGGUUGUGCAAAGAUAGGGGCCAAGUCUAGGAGGGACUUAGAAGCAUAGUUGAGGAGAAUGGUCGAGUGUGCAAACUUAGGGCGAGGCCGUACGAAAUGUACGGACCUGACCAAUCCGGAAGUUCAUGACUCGACCAUCUGAGCCUAUUUGGAGUUGGUGCAAAAAUAGGGCAAAGGAUAGCUCUUAAGAGAAGAAGACAAAAGAGGCUCUUAAGAGAAGAAGACAAAAGAAGAAGCUGGCGCCAAGACAGGCUGUCUAUGAGCUGUGUGAGCUGUAAAGAAGAAGCUAUAGUGACCUUGUAUCUGAACAGAUACAAGGGCAGGUUCAUGGGAGCCUUUAGCCAGCCAAUAAGGAGCCAGCCUUCCCUUUGACCAGAUUUGAAUUAACCAACCAGGCACCAAAGAGAGUUUAACCAAUCAGAUGAGGCUAUAAUGACCAGAUCAACUCUCCAUCUCGUCCCUCCAUCCUUCUAGUCUUUUAUGAGCCAUUAGAUGUAUGUUUUAAGUUUAUGGAAUGUAAAGAGCAUAUAUAAGCUCAUAUGUUAGGAAAUGUAUCUCUUAAGUGAGUAAAGGGGGAUUUCCCCUUCUCCUUCCUAGUCUUUGGUUACUUUGAAUCUCCAAAUCUCUAUUCUCUGGUUACUUAAUCUCUCAGUCUCUCUAAUCUCUCAAUCUCUCACUCAAAGUCUCUUAUUCUCACGCCAUUCUUAUUCUUCCAUCAGUCUCUCUUUUAUUCUCUUCCAUUGUUGACACAAGACUCAGUCCCAACCUGUGGAGGUUGAUUCAUCACGCCCACACACAGCCUGUGCUCUGAAAAUCUAACAUGGUAUCAGAGCCAGGUUCAUCAGAACUUGGUUCCAGCUUCCGCUCAAGCACAAACUCACUCCCAUGCCAUUUCAAGCCAAGAAGAAGCUUCAUGGUCCAGCCGGCUGUUCAACCUCUUCAAGAAGAAGAUGUGCUCAUCCAUGGUGUCCAGGAGCUGUCCUUGGUCGUUCUACACUCUCUCAUGUCCGUCCUAAAGAAAGAAGGCCAUUGGAAGCAUGUCCAAGCCUUUCCUACUCUCUGUCCAAGAAGAACCUUUCAAGAAGAAAGCUUUCUACUUGGGUCUUGUGGUGGCGACUCAAACAUGGUGAAAGGAGGUGUAUUUGGCAUGGUGGGUUCAAGGAGAAAGGCCAGGCAAAGAAGGAGAUGUUGGUUCUCAAACCAACAGCUCAGAUCUGUCCAUGUAUGAUGCGUGUUGCCUUGGAGGUUCAAGGAACCAGCACAGGUUCCUUGUUUGUAAGCUAAACCUCCUUCCCUUGUUUAAAGCUUGUGUCUUUAUUAAACGGUUGUGUUGUGUGGUGUGUUGGUUCUGUGAUGAUUGCUUUGCUUCUGUAUUGUGUGAUUGCCAUAACUAAAAUGCCAUUAAUAUUGUAGCAUCUAGUAGAAUGUCUAAGCUACUUGCAUAAGGGUACUGAAGUUGUUUCGCUGUCACAUUGUUUGCAUUGAGUAGUGUCUUGUGUCCCAGGAUCUCAUGUCCUAGCCGCGCCCUAGUGAUGCUUGUUGUGAUUAAGUGAAUCUGCUUGCAUACAUUGAUUGAAACUGAAUUGAAAACUGUUGCAUAUUGUCUUGUGGCUGUCUUACAUUGAAGCAUUAGAUUCAUGUCUAAGUGCUGAGUAAAGUAGCUCUGAAGAGUGCCUAAGUAACUUGUCUUGAAUCUGUUAGGAUCUUGAUUAUACUUAGAGAGUUAGCAUGCAAAGAAUAGAACUUGAUAAUGCCUUGUGUCUAUCUGUUGCAUUGCUUGUGAUAGUAGGAAUCAAACUUGAUAAUAUAUUAAUCAAGCUUUGACAUCAAUACUAUUGAAAAUGGUUAAAUGCUUAAUGUCAGUUCUAAAUAAACUUGUCUUGUUAAGAUGAUAGAUUAUAUUAUCUAAUCAUACUUGCUUUCAUGAGUUAGAAACUGAUUAGGAUUAAUGCAUACUGUCAUAUUGGUGCUGCCUUAGGUUGAUACACUUAGAUUCAAAUCUAAAAUGUAGUUAAGGCAGAAGUUAAUGCCUAAGUAGCUCGUCUUAAAUCUGAUUUGAUCUUGCUUGUACUUAGAGAGAUUGCUUGCAAAGAUGUGAAUUUGAUAAUGCUUGUUUCAAUCUGUUGCAUAGCUUGUUACAUUGGAGAUCAAACUUGAUAUUGGUCAAGGAUUGAUCCCAAUGCUUGUGUCUUAUCUUUGCUGGAGUUUGAUUGAUGUUUCAGGUUCACAUGAUGUGCUCUUUGUUCAUCAUCAAUCUUAGUAAAAGAGGAAGACUUUACCCAUUGGGAAUGGUCGCUGGGGUGUAUGUGGAUACACAAGGCGAAUGGUCAUCACCUAAGUCUAGAGGAGACUGGUGACCAAAAGGCAUUGGAGAUAAAGGGAAGGGUUGAUCAGUGGUUGAAGCGCAAUCCUUGAGAUGUUGCGCUCCUGAUCUUAAGGUUCAUUGAGGCUCACUUCAAGCUUGGACCCAUACUCAAUCCAGGCUUGAGGAGCAAAGUGAGCCACCUGAUGAUCCUGUUGCUCAAUGACCUGUAUUACUCAAGGUCAUUACAAGCUGAUCAUGGAGUGAUUCAGCCGAAGUAGAGGGAAGAAGAAGGUCACUCAACAAGGCGUGUGAGGUGCUUGGAGAAUUGGCUGAGGUAUCUCCUCAAUGGAAUGAUGAUGUGGUGGAGGUUCAAGCAUCAAGUCCAAAGGAGAUGGAGGUGCUUUCCACAAGACUUAUCAUGGAGCUAUCAUGCGCUCACCAACAAGCUUAGACCUUCCCUAUACUUGGUCUCAAGCCUGAAGAGGAGUGUGGAUGAGCUUGCAUGAUAAGAGAAGGAGCUGUCAAGCUCACCAUUUAUACAAGGGAGUAAACCUGAUCUUUAUCUCUUUCUAUACAAUCAUGAUAGGUUUAUCUCUUGAAAUUGUCUUGCAUCAAUUAGGUGCUGUCUAAGUUAUUGCAUUCAUGCAUUGAACUGUCGGAUUGAUCAUGCAUUGUUACCCUUGUCUAGAUUGUGCUUGUCCUUGAUCUUUUGUUUGCCUAUUUCAGAAUUAAUAUUUUGUUGAGGCAUUGGUGAUCAAACAAGAUGUGUGAUCUUGCUUUGGUCCCAAUAGGAUGAUUUAAUUUUGCAUUGUGUUGUGGUGGUUUUAGGUACACAAGCAGUGAUACAAGUAACUCACCAACAACCAAGAAUGUAAAAACAAAGGUCUUUUGCCAUUGCAUAUCAUCACUAGGACAUGUCAGUCCUCACUCUACAGGAAGUGUAGUGUGAUUGAUUAUGCAAUGAGAGAUGGCUAUUGCAUAAUACCAUUAGGACAUAUCUAGUCCUUAGUCUACAGGAAGUGUAGCAUGGGACAUUAUGCAAUAAGAAGGGUGACUUGUGAGGCUCUCUAUGGUGAUUCAAACACCCUAGUUCCUGGUAUAAGGAAGAGAGCAGCUCACAAGACCAAGACCAUCACCACAGUCUGUUGAGACCGUGGUCUAAGGCCAUGAAAGUGCUUACAUCCACACAAGCUUAGUUCCAAAUCGAAGUCUCGGAAACUAAGCUUGAGGGGGGAAUGUUAAAUAAGCAAGGUUCAUGGCCUGAUAGGUCUUUGCAAAGGCUUCUAAGAAGAACCAUCAACCGGGCCAAGUCAGUGGCGUGUCUAGGCAAGAGGCUGUUCAGAGCAGUCUUGGCAAGUGAGGAGGAAGGCUCUCCAUGAAUGCGGCUUCAAUGAGAGGUGGCUGAGGAGAAGCUGAUAGACCCAUUUAGUCAUCCAACAAGUUGAUGGUGCCAAGAAGAUGAUGCAUUGGCCGAGUGGGAAACUCACCAAAAAUAAAAAGGGAAGUCUACUUAUCAUGUUACUCAAGAUGAUAGACUUAUCUCCUUAAAAUUCAUUGAAUUAAUGCAGCUUAGUCUGAAAAGAUAAGCCUAUGUACUUGGAUUUCUCUCCUAAAGAACUGAGGCACUGCGUUCAUAUUGAAUCAGGUACUUGUGAUCUUGAUAAGCAACCUUUAGGAGAUGGAUGUGAUACCUACAGAGACUACUUGAGGGAGGAUCAAGUGGAGAGUCAAGCUGUAUCAGUCCCUAAGAUGAGCCGGUACAAGGGAAUGUGUACAAGUGGAGGAUGCAUAUACUCAUAGAAAGAUCCUCACCAAAACAAAAAGGGAAGUGUCCCUUAGUCUGUUUCAGUUCAAUUCAUUCUUCUAUUAAGUGCUUAAGCUUGAGAAAGUUACUAGAAAUGAAUUGAUUGAACUGUGAUUAUACUGAAAAAGAUUGAUUGAAUUGUGUGCAUCAACUGUGAUGCAGGAUAUUCAAAUUCUUGGUUCUUGAUAAGUACUGAUGCACCUUUGGAAUGUGUAUUAGGUACCUUUGCUUGGCGCCUCACUAAACGGUUCCUGGUCAUUUCCUAGCUUCUCUAAGGUGGCUGUGAAGUCUGUUGAGAGGGGGAGAUCCAAACCAGGUCUAUGAAGAGGGCAAGCCGUGUGUGAAGUGUUAAUCAGCCUCACCGGGGUUCUGAAGAUGAUCUGAUCGUGUCCUAGCUUCUCUAAGAUGGCUGUGAAGUUAGUUGAGAGGGGGAGACUUCAACCCGGUUCCAUGAAGAGGUGAAGCUGAAGUGUGAAGUGUGCGCAAAGCUGUGAAGAGUUGCUGCACCUGUUAGGCCGUGAUCCAGAGCUUCUUGUGUCCAACCACACUGGUUCUAAGACACAAGAGCUCACUGGCCAAUCCCUAGGCUUUGGAGAGCUCUACUCUUU
rnacentral:lncRNA from 1 species